rnacentral:rRNA from 1 species
CAAGUCGAACGCGAAAGCGGCUUCGGCCGCAAGUAGAGUGGCAAACGGGUGAGUAACGCGUGGGUGACCUGCCUUCGAGUGGGGGAUAACGCUUCGAAAGGGGCGCUAAUACCGCAUAACAUCCCGUCUUUGGAAAGAUGGUGAUCAAAGCUGGGGAUCGCAAGACCUGGCGCUUGAUGAGGGGCCCGCGUCCGAUUAGCUUGUUGGUGGGGUAAUGGCUCACCAAGGCGACAAUCGGUAGCCGGCCUGAGAGGGCGUACGGCCACACUGGGACUGAGACACGGCCCAGACUCCUACGGGAGGCAGCAGUGGGGAAUGUUCGCAAUGGGCGCAAGCCUGACGACGCAACGCCGCGUGGAGGACGAAAACCUUCGGGUCGUAAACUCCUGUCGAGUGGGACGAAACCACUUGGGUUAAUACCCUGGGUGGCUAACGGUACCGCUAAAGGAAGCCCCGGCUAACUCCGUGCCAGCAGCCGCGGUAAUACGGGGGGGGCAAGCGUUGUUCGGAUUUACUGGGCGUAAAGAGCUCGUAGGCGGC